rnacentral:rRNA from 1 species
AACUCUGAGCAUGGAUCACUCGGCUCACGGAUCGAUGAAGAACGCAGCCAGCUGCGAGACUUGGUGUGAAUUGCAGGACACAUUGACCACUGAUUUUUUGAAUGCGCAUUGCGGUCUCGGAUGAUACCCAGGACCUCGCCUGUCUGAGCAACG